GGUUAAGUGAAUAAGGGCGCACGGUGGAUGCCUUGGCACUAGGAGCCGAUGAAGGACGGGACUAACACCGAUAUGCUUCGGGGAGCUGUAAGUAAGCUUUGAUCCGGAGAUUUCCGAAUGGGGAAACCCAGCAUCUUUUAUAGGAUGUUACUUUUCAGUGAAUACAUAGCUGAUUAGAGGUAGACGCAGAGAACUGAAACAUCUAAGUACCUGCAGGAAGAGAAAGAAAAAUCGAUUCCCUGAGUAGCGGCGAGCGAAACGGGAAAAGCCCAAACCAAGAGGCUUGCCUCUUGGGGUUGUAGGACUCCGAUAUGGUAGUCCAGUGAGAUAGUCGAAGGACCUGGAAAGGUCUGCUAGAAAGGGUAAAAGCCCCGUAGACAAAAUUUGACUGGCACCUAGGAGGAUCCUGAGUACGGCGGAACACGAGGAAUUCCGUCGGAAUCCGGGAGGACCAUCUCCCAAGGCUAAAUACUCCCUAGUGACCGAUAGUGAACCAGUACCGUGAGGGAAAGGUGAAAAGCACCCCGGAAGGGGAGUGAAAUAGAUCCUGAAACCGUGUGCCUACAACAAGUUAGAGCCCGUUAAUGGGUGAUAGCGUGCCUUUUGUAGAAUGAACCGGCGAGUUACGAUUACUUGCGAGGUUAAGUUGAAAAGACGGAGCCGCAGCGAAAGCGAGUCUGAAUAGGGCGAAUGAGUAAGUGGUCGUAGACCCGAAACCAUGUGAUCUACCCAUGUCCAGGUUGAAGGUGCGGUAAAACGCACUGGAGGACCGAACCCACGUACGUUGAAAAGUGCGGGGAUGAGGUGUGGGUAGCGGAGAAAUUCCAAACGAACUUGGAGAUAGCUGGUUCUCUCCGAAAUAGCUUUAGGGCUAGCCUCAGAGUAAGAAUGAUGGAGGUAGAGCACUGUUUGGACUAGGGGCCCAUCUCGGGUUACCGAAUUCAGAUAAACUCCGAAUGCCAUCCAUUCAUCUCUGGGAGUCAGACUGUGAGUGAUAAGAUCCAUAGUCGAAAGGGAAACAGCCCAGACCACCAGCUAAGGUCCCCAAAUAACUAUUAAGUGGAAAAGGAUGUGGGGUUGCACAGACAACUAGGAUGUUGGCUUAGAAGCAGCCACCAUUUAAAGAGUGCGUAAUAGCUCACUAGUCGAGUGACCCUGCGCCGAAAAUGUACCGGGGCUAAAUAGUUUACCGAAGCUGUGGAAUNNNNNNNNNNNNNNNNNNNNNNNNNNNNNNNNNNNNNNNNNNNNNNNNNNNNNNNNNNNNNNNNNNNNNNNNNNNNNNNNNNNNNNNNNNNNNNNNNNUAGUACCGAAGUUCCUGAUGUCACACUGCCGAGAAAAGCUUCUAGUGAGAAAACAAUGGCCCGUACCGCAAACCGACACAGGUAGUCGAGGAGAGAAUCCUAAGGUGAGCGAGAGAACUCUCGUUAAGGAACUCGGCAAAAUGACCCCGUAACUUCGGGAGAAGGGGUGCUGAUCUAACGAUCAGCCGCAGUGAAUAGGCCCAAGCGACUGUUUAUCAAAAACACAGGUCUCUGCAAAAUCGAAAGAUGACGUAUAGGGGCUGACGCCUGCCCGGUGCUGGAAGGUUAAGAGGAGUGCUUAGCGUAAGCGAAGGUACGAAUUGAAGCCCCAGUAAACGGCGGCCGUAACUAUAACGGUCCUAAGGUAGCGAAAUUCCUUGUCGGGUAAGUUCCGACCCGCACGAAAGGCGUAACGAUUUGGGCACUGUCUCAACGAGAGACUCGGUGAAAUUUUAGUACCUGUGAAGAUGCAGGUUACCCGCGACAGGACGGAAAGACCCCAUGGAGCUUUACUGCAGUUUGAUAUUGAGUGUUUGUACCACAUGUACAGGAUAGGUAGGAGCCGUAGAAGUCGGGACGCUAGUUUCGACAGAGGCGCUGGUGGGAUACUACCCUUGUGUUAUGACCACUCUAACCCGCACCACUAAUCGUGGUGGGAGACAGUGUCAGAUGGGCAGUUUGACUGGGGCGGUCGCCUCCUAAAGAGUAACGGAGGCGCCCAAAGGUUCCCUCAGAAUGGUUGGAAAUCAUUCGCAGAGUGUAAAGGCACAAGGGAGCUUGACUGCGAGACCUACAAGUCGAGCAGGGACGAAAGUCGGGCUUAGUGAUCCGGUGGUUCCGCAUGGAAGGGCCAUCGCUCAACGGAUAAAAGCUACCCUGGGGAUAACAGGCUUAUCUCCCCCAAGAGUCCACAUCGACGGGGAGGUUUGGCACCUCGAUGUCGGCUCGUCGCAUCCUGGGGCUGUAGUCGGUCCCAAGGGUUGGGCUGUUCGCCCAUUAAAGCGGCACGCGAGCUGGGUUCAGAACGUCGUGAGACAGUUCGGUCCCUAUCCGUCGCGGGCGUUGGAAAUUUGAGAGGAUCUGUCCUUAGUACGAGAGGACCGGGAUGGACUUACCGCUGGUGUACCAGUUGUCUCGCCAGAGGCAUCGCUGGGUAGCUAUGUAGGGAAGGGAUAAACGCUGAAAGCAUCUAAGUGUGAAGCCCACCUCAAGAUGAGAUUUCCCAUUUCUUUAAGAAAGUAAGAUCCCUGAGAGAAGAUCAGGUAGAUAGGUCAGGAGUGGAAGUGCAGUGAUGUACGGAGCGGACUGAUACUAAUCGAUCGAGGACUUAACCAA
rnacentral:rRNA from 1 species